rnacentral:rRNA from 1 species
CUGAUCCAGCCAUGCCGCGUGAGUGAUGAAGGCCCUAGGGUUGUAAAGCUCUUUCACCGGAGAAGAUAAUGACGGUAUCCGGAGAAGAAGCCCCGGCUAACUUCGUGCCAGCAGCCGCGGUAAUACGAAGGGGGCUAGCGUUGUUCGGAAUUACUGGGCGUAAAGCGCACGUAGGCGGAUCGAUCAGUCAGGGGUGAAAUCCCAGGGCUCAACCCUGGAACUGCCUUUGAUACUGUCGAUCUGGAGUAUGGAAGAGGUGAGUGGAAUUCCGAGUGUAGAGGUGAAAUUCGUAGAUA